AUGGAAAGAGUCCGCCGUUUGGAAGAGAAUCUGGACAAUAUCAUUCAGGACAUAGGCACGGAAGCAGUAAUUGACAAAUGGAAUCUAAUUAAAGAGCUUCUGCACAGCCCAAAGAUAAUCAGAAACACAAGUCGUUCUGCCUUCAUUGCCCUGAUUUCUCCCAGACGCCGCGAGGUCGCCGCCACGCCCAAGAAUAAAAGUAAAGGAGGUAAAAAUAGACGCAGAGGUAAGAAUGAGAAUGAAUCUGAAAAAAAGAGAAUUGGUAUUCAAAGAGGAUGGUCAGGAGUCUGCUCAGGUAAUCAAAAUGUUGGGAAAUGGACGACUAAAAGCAAUAUGUUUCGGUAGUGUAAAGAGGUUAUGUCACAUAGGAGGAAAACUGAGAAAAAGGGUUUGGAUACAUACCUCGGACAUUAUAUUGGUCGGUCUCGGAGACUACCAGGAUAACAAAACUGAUGUAAUUUUAAAAUAUAAUGCAGGCGAAACUAGAAGUCUGAAGGCACAUGGCGAGCUUCCAGAGCACGCUAAACGCUCAUUAAUGAGACGGAUACAUUGGAGAUGAUGAUGAAAUUCAGUUCGAUGAUACUGGAGAUGAUAAUGAAGAUAUUGAUGACAUCUAAAUUGAACUCAACAUUUCACAUGCCAUCUUUUCUGAAGAUUGUCCUACAUUUGGAUUUUGGCCGUGACAAAGAGGACUAAAAUUUCAUUAGCGUGAAUGCAAUUUGUUAAAGCAGACUGAUUUCUUUCUAAAGUAUUUUGUUUCUUUUAAAAGAGUUAAUGCUGAUUUAUCUUAAGUGAGAUGUUAAGCCCACUUUCUUAUUUUAAUGCAAUGGAGCUUAUGGGUAGAAGACCACAUCUACUAUUAAAAAAAAAAAAAUGCAUUGCUGCUUUUCCUACCACUUCCGAUAAGGAAAUGGAUGUUUUUGAAGAAAUUAUUUGUCUUGUCCUCAUUAUAGAAUAUGACUAAGCCCUGGCCUCCUUGAUUGUAUAGAGUCGUUGUGCAUAUUCCAAUUACCUAGAUAUUUCCUUGAGAUUUUGAUGCAAUUUGAGGGAGGCAGAAAUCUGCAUUUGAAGUAAAAAAUAAGUCUGUUUGUCAUAUUUAAGUAUCCAGUGGCUAUUUUUAUACUGAUUUGGAUAUCGCGUGUUGUUUUCAUAAUCGUAUUUUGCCACCACAAAC